rnacentral:tRNA from 1 species
CCUCGAUUAUCGAGAAAGACAUAGUGGUUAUGACGUUGGCUUGAAACCAGUGGGAGAGGGUUCGAUUCCUUCCUUUCUUA